UCAGUUUGUGCCCAUCACCUCUUGUCACUGAAUACCACUGAGAAGUGUUUGUCUCCACCUUCUUUACCCUCCAAUCAGCUAGUUUUUGCUGCCUCCCUUCAGCCAACGAGAGCAUCUUGGGGCCCUACAGCAAGUCAAGAUUAGCUGACUGGAAACUAAUCACACGGGAAAACAAUAACCAACACCAAAGAUAAAUGAUCUGGCUCAACUGAUUGCAAGUGUUGAUACAAGAAUGAGAACAGGAACCUGUACAUGCAGAAGUCCAUAAGAUCUGACAAAGUGUAUUGAGGGAUAUCCAAGGUCUUGAGGGAACUGGCUGAUGUAGCUGCUAUGCUGCUCACCACUGUAUUCAAAACAUCAGGCAGUAUUCAAAAUAGCAGUCAGGAAAGUCACCAGUGACUGGAAAAAGAGAAAUAUCAUGGCCAUCUUUAAAAAAGGAAGAAAGGAGGACCCUGAAUAUUACUAACCAGUCAAACUCACCUCUUUGCCUGAUAAGAACACAGAAAAGAUCUUCCUGGAAGUAUGUCAAAGCAUGUGUGGGGCAGGAAAGUAAUUAGAAAUAGCCAACAUGCCAACAUGGCUUCAAAAAAGACAAAUCAUGCCUGGCUAAUCUGAACAUCCCUCUAUGAUGCAGUGACUGCAUUGGUCAGUAAGCAACUUAUGGCAUCUACCUUGAUUUCUGCAAGGCCUUUGACAUGAUUCCCACACAAUACCUGAGCUGCUAAAUUGGAGAGACACGAGUUUGAUGGAUGGACUAUUCAUUGAAUAAGAAAUUGUCUGGAUAACCACGUCCAAAGAGCUGCAGUCAACAGCUCAAUAUCCAAAUGGAUAUCCUUAGAAAAUGGUGUCCCUCAGUGGCCUGUAUGGGGAACUGGUACAAUAUAAUUGCUUACAACUGAAAGCCUUGCUGAUGCAGUAAGCAAUGGGAUUUAUAUUAAAUAUUCUGCUUCUUUCAAGAGUUUCCUCUAUGAUACUUUGCAAAAGCGGAUUGUGUUUACUGUGUGGAAUUUCUUAUUCUUUUGCCUGCAUAUUUAGAUUUGUACAUUUUUUUCUUACAUAAGAACUAUGAGUUGAACAGUUUCGGGUGUUAAAUCACCAUUGCAUCCCAUUGAAAUGCAUAUUCCUCAGAGUGUGAAAACAUUUUGUGCAUUUUGGAUACAUUAAAUUAUGAAAGUCUUUAAAGUAGAUAGACAUUAGUUAUAGAACUUCUUCUAAAGAGAAAAAAAUAUUUUAUAAAGAAAUAGGUGGUUCAGUAGAAGGAAAUUCAAAAUCCUCAGCUACCAGAAUUCUUUUUGUUGAAUUCCCAACAAAUAUAUUUCCUUCAAUCACUUCCAAAACCUCAAAAUUUACUGUAUGUUAGCAAGCACUGGAGUCUGAGUUUCUCUAGCUGUUUCAGAUAUCCAUAUGUCUGUUAACUUUUGUCAGAUUUUGACUUUUUGUGACAGCAUCAUAUAUUGGAAGGAACUAGUAAGGCUUAAACAUCAGAAUUUGGAUUCUAUUUUUGAUUUCACAUAAAACUCUGAAGGGUUAAAAUGCAGAUUAUAAGGCUGGUGUGCAAACAUUAGCACAAGUCAUGGAGAAUAACUGGCUUUGGAACACUUUAGACAAAUACUGAGAAAUUCCUGUUGAUUUAUGCCUGUUGUUGACUACUGUGUUGAACAAUGUUUGUAAGAUGUAGCUGUGUGUUCCAGGAGUUUAGGAGAAUAUAUGUCAGCAAAAUAAAAGUCCUAUAGGAACAAUCCCUUGUUGAGGCUGGAAACAGUCUAAUUUUUUUGUUUACUAAAUUCCUCUUGGAGAAACCAAUUUCAUUCAAAGCAAUGCAAGAUUUAUUCAUCCUGUUCAUACCAGAGUAAGAAAUCCCUUUUACUUCAGAGACCAUUAACAGAAUUUCACUGCUGGCCAUAGGACUGGAUUUCUCAUGU